UACGUAGGUGGCAAGCGUUGUCCGGAUUUACUGGGCGUAAAGAGCGCGCAGGCGGUCGUUCAAGUCGCGUGUGAAAGCCCCCGGCUCAACUGGGGAGGGUCACGCGAUACUGAUCGACUCGAAGGCAGGAGAGGGGAAGUGGGAUUCCCGGUGUAGUGGUGAAAUGCGUAGAUAUCGGGAGGAACACCAGAGGCGAAGGCGGCGACCUGGACAGAUACUGACACUGAGGAACGAAAGCCAGGGGAGCAAACAGG
rnacentral:rRNA from 1 species